ACGGGAGGCAGCAGUGGGGAAUAUUGGACAAUGGGCGCAAGCCUGAUCCAGCAACGCCGCGUGGAGGAUGAAGGUCUUCGGAUCGUAAACUCCUGUCAGACGGGACGAAGGUCUGCGGGUGAACAACUCGCAGGCUUGACGGUACUGUCAGAGGAAGCCCCGGCUAACUCCGUGCCAGCAGCCGCGGUAAUACGGAGGGGGCGAGCGUUAUUCGGAAUUAUUGGGCGUAAAGGGCGCGUAGGCGGUUCGAUAAGUCAAAGGUGAAAUCCCUCGGCUCAACUGAGGAACUGCCUUUGAAACUGUCGAGCUUGAGUCCGGGAGGGGGUAGCGGAAUUCCCAGUGUAGCGGUGAAAUGCGUAGAUAUUGGGAGGAACACCGGUGGCGAAGGCGGCUACCUGGACCGGAACUGACGCUGAUGCGCGAAAGCGUGGGUAGCAAACAGGAUUAGAUACCCUGGUA
rnacentral:rRNA from 1 species